CAAACUGCAAAUUAGCAUAUUCAUUUCAGUCAGUUUCCUGUUUCAAGCUGAGUUUAAUCUGCAGAAGCCAAAAACAUGAACCAGCAGAUGCAGAACAAAAAGCAAUGAUAAGGGUAUGGAAUGCCGAGGGUCUUUUAUUUUCAUUUACAGGUUUUUCUUGAGCUGAGGGUCCAAUUGGCCGCAACCGCCAUGUCUCCUUUGAUAAAGGAACCUCUCGUUUAGAGGAUCUUUCUCGAGCCGAGUAACUCUUUGGUCGCAUCAUUAUUUAUGGGUAUGAGUUGCUACCUUCCUUCUCUUCCUAGACCCUAUCAUAGUUUCCUAUAAGCGGGACACAUUGAAUAUAAUAAUAAUGAUGUUAAUUGUUACCUAUAACAAAUAUAAGGAAAAUUCUACAUGGUAGCAACCAGUUUUAGGGAAACAUGAGAGGUAAUAUAUUUUUUACUAUUUUCCACAUGGUAGCAACAAUGUUUCAACUUUAUAAAAACCAUAGCAAAAUCAAUUAAAAAUUUGUUAAAAAUAAAUUAAAAAGACAAUUACACCCUCACUUUUUAACUUCAUGCUUUAUAAUAUUAAAGUUAACGAAAUUUAAUGUUUUUUAACGCAAUUUGCUACAGAUUUUGUAACAGAUUUUGUAAAGUUAAAACCCUGUUGCUACUUGCUACCAUGUGGAACUAAAAAAGCGCCACCACUUGUGUUUCUAUAAAAUUGGUAAUUACCAUAAGGAUUUUCCUUAAUAUAAAUAUAAUAUAUUGAUUACCAAUGCCAUAGAAGAUUUUCAAUUAAUAAGUAAAUAAACAUCAAGCUAACUUAACUCUCUCCUCUUUUCUCUCUAGAGUUAGGGCUUAUCUCCCUAGGGUUUAUAGGGUUUCCUCCUCUUUUGUAAAGCAUGUCUCCUAUUUAUCAAUAAGAUAACAAUAUGGCAGAAGAUCUUUCUGACUAAUGUGCACACCUGCAAAUCAUUAUUGAUAAGGAGGACGUCGCUGAUUUUAGUACCGAAGACAACAAUUCAAGGACGCAAAAUUAGGGUUGCAGUUGGUGGGUAAACUAUACACAGAAAAACCCAUCAAUUUUGAUGCCUUAAAAAGGAUGAUGUUACAAGCAUGGAAUUUGAAGGAUGGUGUGAUUGUUCGAUUGAUGGAGGCAAACACCAUUCUCUUUCAGUUCUUCAUUUGCAGGAUAAGGAAAAUGUGAUGACUGGUCGUCCGUGGUGCUUCAAACAAAGGUUGCUUCUUCUCCAAGAAAUAGCCCCUGAUACGCAACCGACUGAGGGGAAGUCAUGGAUAUCGAGGAAGAGCUCAUGAGAUUGACGCGUUCCAUCGAGUUUGGGUUAUGAUAGAUUUGUGAAUUUUGGGUUAAAGUAUGAACAAUUACCACAUUUUUAUUUUCUUUGUGGUAUAUGAGUUAUACCGACAAGGAUUGUCGUACCGUUUUCGAAGAUGCUCAUGAAGAUGGCGUUAAAUAGGGCUUGAAUAUUAAGACAUCUCCUAGGAAGGGGUAUAGUGUACAUAAGAGAGAGAUUGAUUUGCAUAAAGUUAGGGGUAAACAAUUAUUUACUCCAAAACAGUUAAGUUGUGAGAAUGUCGUGGGUAAUGAUUUUUUUCUCCUUGUUUGAUGGGAGUGCCUGAGACAAUAAUUGUUCCUUGCAAUGAUGAGAUUAACGAAGGGAAGGAUAUUUAUAAUGAUGGUUCCUUAGUUUUGCUACCAACUUCUCUUGUUCCAGCCACAACAUAGGUACUUGAACAGCAAGCUAUCCCAUUUUAGGAUCUUACUAGUGCGAUAGUGACGUUUAUAUCAAAGGUACAAGCUAUGUCUUACUCUUCACAUACCAUUCCUCGUGAUGAGGGUAGAGUUAUCUUUAAUAUGGGCAUAAAUUAUAAAGUAAAUAAGAAAGUGGAAAAAUCAAAGAAGAAAAUUGUAACAGACUCAAAAUUCUUAAUUUUAGUCUUCCGAUUAAUUAUUCCGAAUUUUCAAUUCAAAUCUGUAAUCCUUUUA